rnacentral:tRNA from 1 species
AGUAAUGUUUAGUUAUUGAUAAUUAACUUAAAUAAAAUUACUA